rnacentral:lncRNA from 1 species
GGGACCUAGAACGGGCCUAGCUCAGAGCAGGUGCUCACUAUUGAUGGAAUGCAUGUUGAAAGAAUGCAUGAAUCUCAUCUCCUUUUGUGGGUGAAAAUCUCAUCCUAUUCUCACUCCUGAUUAACUUUCUUUCUUUUUUUUUUUUCAAAACGGAGCCCUGAUCUGUCACCCAGGCUGGAGUGCAAUGGUGCCAUCUCAGCUCGCUGCAACCUCUGCCUUCUGGAUUAAAGCAAUUCUCCUGCCUCAGCCUCCCGGGUAGCUGGGAUUACAGGUGCACACCACCACGCCCGGCUAAUUUUUUGUAUUUUUAAUAGAGACAGGGUUUUGCCAUGUUGGCCAGGCUGGUCUCAAACCCCUGACCCUGUGAUCUGCCCGAUUUGGCCUCCCAAAGUCCUGGGAUUACAAACAUGAGCCACCGUACCCAGCCACUCUUGAUUAACUUAAUGGAAAUAUUUAGAGAUUCUUUCUUUUCUGGGUUCUAGAGUCUUCUCUGUAACCUCUGCAGGGGAGUCCUUGAGCAGAAGGAAGCAAGUUGCCUGAGAUUCUUCAAAGCCCGCAGCCCUUUUGGAGGUAGAAGUUGCUGGUCCCAUCUUGCUCACAAUCCUCCAAAGUUUGAAAGUUAUUUUCCAGGAGACUUGGCUUGCACUGAGAGCUGCCCUCCCACCCUCUCUCCAAAUUUCCUCUUGGGGGUAGCCUAACAAGGUGCUGUCACAGACCCUUGUCGGCCACGAUGACCCCACCCAGACCAUCCCUCUGCUGUUUCACUCUUUGAUAGUCUCUGGAGCUCUCUGGGGAGGGGU